GUGCCAGCAGCCGCGGUAAUACGUAGGGUGCGAGCGUUGUCCGGAAUUACUGGGCGUAAAGAGCUCGUAGGUGGUUUGUCGCGUCGUCUGUGAAAUUCCGGGGCUUAACUUCGGGCGUGCAGGCGAUACGGGCAUAACUUGAGUGCUGUAGGGGAGACUGGAAUUCCUGGUGUAGCGGUGAAAUGCGCAGAUAUCAGGAGGAACACCGAUGGCGAAGGCAGGUCUCUGGGCAGUUACUGACGCUGAGGAGCGAAAGCAUGGGUAGCAAACAGGAUUAGAUACCCUGGUAGUCCAUGCCGUAAACGGUGGGCGCUAGGUGUAGGGGGCUUCCACGUCUUCUGUGCCGUAGCUAACGCAUUAAGCGCCCCGCCUGGGGAGUACGGCCGCAAGGCUAAAACUCAAAGGAAUUGACGGGGGCCCGCACAAGCGGCGGAGCAUGUGGAUUAAUUCGAUGCAACGCGAAGAACCUUACCUGGGCUUGACAUACACCAGAUUGCUGCAGAGAUGUAGUGUCCCUUGUGGUUGGUGUACAGGUGGUGCAUGGUUGUCGUCAGCUCGUGUCGUGAGAUGUUGGGUUAAGUCCCGCAACGAGCGCAACCCUUGUCUUAUGUUGCCAGCAUUUGGUUGGGGACUCAUGAGAGACUGCCGGGGUUAACUCGGAGGAAGGUGGGGAUGACGUCAAAUCAUCAUGCCCCUUAUGUCCAGGGCUUCACACAUGCUACAAUGGUCGGUACAACGCGCAGCGACACUGUGAGGUGGAGCGAAUCGCUGAAAGCCGGUCUUAGUUCGGAUUGGGGUCUGCAACUCGACCCCAUGAAGUCGGAGUCGCUAGUAAUCGCAGAUCAGCAACGCUGCGGUGAAUACGUUCCCGGGCCUUGUACACACCGCCCGUG
rnacentral:rRNA from 1 species